CCACGAACCCGGUGCGCACUUGUCUGUUGUCCGAGUGGUCAGUGGUCAUAAACCCUUCUCCCUCCUCAGCCUCCUCUUUCCCCCUCUCGAAAGACUGCGCGGCCGCGAAGCCAAACCCUAGCCUCCGCCCCCCCUUGGAAUCCGCAUCGUCUUCAGCAGGGAGGGAUGAGCAGGCGCUGGAGCAGGACGAUCUAUGUUGGCAACCUCCCUGGGGAUAUCCGGGAGAGGGAGGUGGAGGACCUCUUCUACAAGUAUGGCCGUAUUGUUGAUAUUGACCUGAAGGUUCCUCCAAGGCCGCCUGGCUAUGCUUUUGUUGAGUUUGAAGAUCCUCGUGACGCCGAAGAUGCCUGUGCUGGACGGGAUGGGUAUAACUUCGAUGGAAAUCGUCUAAGAGUGGAACCUGCUCAUGGUGGGAGAGGUAGUGGUGGCCCCUCUCAUGAUCGUUCUAGCAGCUUUGGUGGCGGCGGCGGCGGUGGCGGACGCCGGGGUGUCUCCAGGCACACGGAUUACCGUGUUCUGGUUACUGGCCUGCCUUCUUCUGCGUCCUGGCAAGAUUUAAAGGACCAUAUGCGAAGGGCUGGUGAUGUUUGUUUCGCAGAAGUGUAUCGUGAAGGCGGCGGCACCAUAGGAAUUGUGGACUACACAAACUAUGAUGAUAUGAAAUAUGCUAUAAAGAAACUGGAUGACACUGAAUUUAAGAAUGCGUUUUCUAAAGGUUAUAUAAGGGUGAAGGAAUAUGAUGGCAAACGUGGGCGCUCCUACUCACGUAGCCGGAGCCCAAGUCGUAGCCGCAGCAAAAGCAGGAGCCCAAGCAAAUCUCCCAGGGCCCGCUCAGCAUCUAGGUCCAGAUCAAGGUCUCUUUCUUCCCGUUCUCGUUCAGCAUCAAAAGGACGUUCUCCAUCAAGACACCUUUGAUAAUGUUGGCACAUGAUAAUGUCGGACUGCAAGGGGAUUUCCUUCUCAAGAACUCAGUUUAUGCUACAAACGAUGUGAACUGCUUAGAUUCUUGUGUUUUUUGAAGACUUCUCUUCAUUUUAUCUGGGAUUGUGCGGCGAUCUGGGGAUUGCACAUUAGGAUAUUGAGGAUGGAAUUUGCUACAGUUGUGUUGGUUGUAUGAGAGCUUGGGCAUAGCGCAUUUUUUGGAAUUCUGGACAUAAGAGCCUUAAGGAAUGACGAUAUGGAUUAUGAUGAUCACCAGCAAGAUCGAAAUCCCCAAUUGCUUCUCCGGCAAACGGUGUAGUGGCAAGUCCAGGGGCAAGCCCGAAGAAACGCAGUCCAAGCAGGAGUCCAUCUCGUUCACGGUCACCUGAUGCGAAAUCUGAAUAGAAGCACUGCACUGGGCAGAUGAGGCGUGUGCUCAGGUCUAGAUAUUUGUUGUCCUCUAUGCUUCUUGAGAAGAUGUCAGCAACUGUCCAAUGAGUCUCCUUUAUUGUAUGAACAGUGUCAACUUGUAUUGCUGAAGCCAUCGAACUUGAGCACUAUCAUAUGCGAUGCCUGCCAGCCAGCCUUUCAUUCAACUAGUACUUUGUCUGUUAAAUGUUAUUUCGUGGAUUCUGUUAAAAAAUUCAUGCAAGACGUUUGUGUAUUCAUGCUUCA